UACACUCCUACGGGAGGCAGCAGUGAGGAAUAUUGGACAAUGGGUGGAAGCCUGAUCCAGCCAUCCCGCGUGCAGGAAGACGGCCCUAUGGGUUGUAAACUGCUUUUAUCUGGGGAUAAACCUACUUACGUGUAAGUAGCUGAAGGUACCAGAAGAAUAAGCACCGGCUAACUCCGUGCCAGCAGCCGCGGUAAUACGGAGGGUGCAAGCGUUAUCCGGAUUUAUUGGGUUUAAAGGGUCCGUAGGCGGACUGAUAAGUCAGUGGUGAAAUCCGACAGCUUAACUGUCGAACUGCCAUUGAUACUGUUAGUCUUGAGUAAGGUUGAAGUGGCUGGAAUAAGUAGUGUAGCGGUGAAAUGCAUAGAUAUUACUUAGAACACCAAUUGCGAAGGCAGGUCACUAAGUCUUAACUGACGCUGAUGGACGAAAGCGUGGGGAGCGAACAGGAUUAGAAACCCUGGUAGUCCCA
rnacentral:rRNA from 1 species